rnacentral:rRNA from 2 species
GAUUAGUGGCGAACGGGUGAGUAACACGUGAGUAACCUGCCCUUGACUCUGGGAUAAGCCUGGGAAACUGGGUCUAAUACCGGAUAUGACCUUCCAUCGCAUGGUGGUUGGUGGAAAGCUUUUGUGGUUUUGGAUGGACUCGCGGCCUAUCAGCUUGUUGGUGGGGUAAUGGCCUACCAAGGCGACGACGGGUAGCCGGCCUGAGAGGGUGACCGGCCACACUGGGACUGAGACACGGCCCAGACUCCUACGGGAGGCAGCAGUGGGGAAUAUUGCACAAUGGGCGCAAGCCUGAUGCAGCGACGCCGCGUGAGGGAUGACGGCCUUCGGGUUGUAAACCUCUUUCAGUAGGGAAGAAGCGUAAGUGACGGUACCUGCAGAAGAAGCGCCGGCUAACUACGUGCCAGCAGCCGCGGUAAUACGUAGGGCGCAAGCGUUAUCCGGAAUUAUUGGGCGUAAAGAGCUCGUAGGCGGUUUGUCGCGUCUGCCGUGAAAGUCCGGGGCUCAACUCCGGAUCUGCGGUGGGUACGGGCAGACUAGAGUGAUGUAGGGGAGACUGGAAUUCCUGGUGUAGCGGUGAAAUGCGCAGAUAUCAGGAGGAACACCGAUGGCGAAGGCAGGUCUCUGGGCAUUAACUGACGCUGAGGAGCGAAAGCAUGGGGAGCGAACAGGAUUAGAUACCCUGGUAGUCCAUGCCGUAAACGUUGGGCACUAGGUGUGGGGGACAUUCCACGUUUUCCGCGCCGUAGCUAACGCAUUAAGUGCCCCGCCUGGGGAGUACGGCCGCAAGGCUAAAACUCAAAGGAAUUGACGGGGGCCCGCACAAGCGGCGGAGCAUGCGGAUUAAUUCGAUGCAACGCGAAGAACCUUACCAAGGCUUGACAUGAACCGGAAAGAUCUGGAAACAGGUCCCCCACUUGUGGUCGGUUUACAGGUGGUGCAUGGUUGUCGUCAGCUCGUGUCGUGAGAUGUUGGGUUAAGUCCCGCAACGAGCGCAACCCUCGUUCUAUGUUGCCAGCACGUGAUGGUGGGGACUCAUAGGAGACUGCCGGGGUCAACUCGGAGGAAGGUGGGGACGACGUCAAAUCAUCAUGCCCCUUAUGUCUUGGGCUUCACGCAUGCUACAAUGGCCGGUACAAAGGGUUGCGAUACUGUGAGGUGGAGCUAAUCCCAAAAAGCCGGUCUCAGUUCGGAUUGGGGUCUGCAACUCGACCCCAUGAAGUCGGAGUCGCUAGUAAUCGCAGAUCAGCAACGCUGCGGUGAAUACGUUCCCGGGCCUUGUACACACCGCCCGUCAAGUCACGAAAGUUGGUAACACCCGAAGCCGGUGGCCU